rnacentral:rRNA from 1 species
AGCUUUAUGUAAUUAUAUAAAGUUUAUUCUGCCCUAUGAAAUUUUAAAUGGCCGCAGUACCUUGACUGUGCUAAGGUAGCAUAAUAAUUUGGCUUUUAAUUAAAGUCUAGAAUGAAAGAAAAAAUGGGAUAAAACUGUUUUUAUAUAAAAUUUAGAAUUUUUUUAAAAGGUGAAAAUACCUUUUUGUAUAAAAAAGACGAGAAGACCCUUAGAGUUUUUAUAAUAGUUAAAUAAUAAAAUUAUUUUUGUUGGGGUGACAGGUUAACAUAAAAUUUUUAAUUUAAUUUUUUUUACAAGUGAUAAUAGUUGAAAGAAAAAACUACCUAAGGGAUAACAGCAUAAUCUUUAAAAAUAGGAUUGUGACCUCGAUGUUGGACUAGGAACCAUAUGGUUAGAAACUAAAAUGGAAAGUUCUGUUCGAACUAAAAUUUCCU